GACGAACGCUGGCGGCGUGCCUAAUACAUGCAAGUCGAACGCAGUGGGGACGGGUGAGUAACACGUGGGUAACCUCCCAUCAGAGGGGAUAACACUUGGAAACAGGUGCUAAACCGAUACUGAUGGAUGAACCCGCGGUGCAUUAGCUAGUUGGUGAGGUAACGGCUCACCAAGGCCACGAUGCAUAGGCGAACGGAGAGGGUGAUCGGCCACACUGGGACCGAGAAACGGCCCAAAACCCUAAGGGAGGGAGGAGGAGGGAAGCUUCGGCAAUGGACGAAAGGCUGACCGAGGAAAGGCGCGGGAGUGAAGAAGGUUUUCGGAUUCUAAAACUCUGUUGUUAGAGAAGCGGUAUCUAACCAGAAAGCCACGGCUAACUACGUGCCAGCAGCCGCGGUAAUUC
rnacentral:rRNA from 1 species